UAAUCUGCAGAGGAUGCUUCGGGCGAGGCGCCUUCCGAGUUCCCUGGAACGGGACGCCGCAGAGGGUGAGAGCCCCGUCCGGCUGGCGACCGAGCCCGCGUGAAGCUCCUUCGACGAGUCGAGUAGUUUGGGAAUGCUGCUCAAAGCGGGAGGUAUAUGCCUUCUAAAGCUAAAUACCGGCCAGAGACCGAUAGCGCACAAGUAGAGUGAUCGAAAGAUGAAAAGCACUUUGGAAAGAGGGUUAAACAGUACGUGAAAUUGUUGAAAGGGAAGCGCUCGUGACCAGACUCGCGCCCGGCGGAUCACCCAGCGGCACGCCCGCCGGGGCACUCCGCCGGGCGCGGGCCAGCAUCAGCCCGCCGCGGGGGACAAAGGCCCCGGGAACGUGGCUCCCCCAGGGGAGUGUUACAGCCCGGGGCGCAAUGCCCCGGGGCGGGCUGAGGUUCGCGCGUCCCGCAAGGAUGCUGGCGUAAUGGUCACCAGCGACCCGUCUUGAAACACGGACCAAGGAGUCGUCUUCGUAUGCGAGUGUUCGGGUGUCAAGCCCCUGCGCGGAAUGAAAGUGAACGCAGGUGGGAGCCCCCCCUCCCGGGGGGCGCACCACCGACCGAUCCGGACGUCCUCGGAAGGAUUUGAGUGGGAGCAUACGGGGCCGGACCC
rnacentral:rRNA from 1 species